AGGGACAAUCUGCCAUCUCAGUGGAUGAUACAUUAAAAAUCAUAGCAUGCAGGGAACAACAGAAGAAGUUGUUGGCGCUUGAGAUGGACUUGGCUGCUGCUAGGCAGGAGGGUUUUAUGGUGAAGCAUUCUAGAGAGAAUAAUGAAACAAAGAUCCCCUUGGUCGUAAUUGGAGUCAUCACCAGAUUUGGCCGCAAAAACAAUAGAGAUGCAAUUCGUAAAGCAUGGAUGGGAACUGG
rnacentral:misc_RNA from 1 species